rnacentral:ncRNA from 1 species
AGGAGUCGUGUGAGAGGAAAGUCUCAUGCACGGUUCUGAAUGAGAGAAAGAAGUGAGGAAUCCUAUUUUCUACUCUAAC